CUGGGCCUUCACCACUGCCGUGGUAUGUUGCUGAAAACACAGUCCGUGUUGGGGACGUGGAGAGCUGGGACCAAAGAUGGCGUCCCCUCCAAACUUCCACUACUUUGGACACUCAUCAAGCUACUUUUCGUGUGUAGGAGACAAACCUCUUCACACCUCGGCAGUGCGUCCUGGCUCCGGGGCCACCUCUCCGUCUUCAAGUGGUUGUCUAUGAAACGUCAUGCAUCGUGUGCAAAAUUCUUAUCGCGAGGGUGAUGCAUGUUUUUCUUAACGUCAAUGACAACAUGAAGGAAAAAAGUAAAAAAAUAAAUGUAUAAAUAAAUAACAAUACACAGUACAUAUGAACUAUG